GGAACGGAGCCAUCCCACCUAGGGAAUAUUCCCCUCAGAUUCGGGAUGGGGAGGCUCCAAUUUUUCUGGCGGACGGAGCCGCUCGCGAGCCACGCGCUCCCCACCCCCGCUCUCGUUCGAACGGAUCAGGAGCCCGUGAACUUUCCGGCAGCACGAAAUUUUACAACAAAGUGCACUGCAGCUCAAGAUGGAUGAGGAGGAUCAGAUUCUUAUGUAUGCCGCUGUUGCUUAUAUGUGGCUUUCGAUGAUGGCAAUGAUAAUUAAAACUAGGAAGAGAAAACGUCAUAAUCAUGCUCCCGUAGGACAAAUUAGCUAUGGUCCAAUUGAUGAAAGAGAUAAGAAAAGAUUAGAUUAUCUCAAUGAUAAAAUUUGGAAGAAUGAUACGACGUGUGUCAAUAUGCUUAGGCUUAACAGAGCAUCAUUCUUCCGCUUUUGUAAACUCUUUAGAGAUCGUGGGCUAUUAGAAGACACUAUACACAUGUGUAUUGAGCAGCAAUUAGCGAUGUUUUUGCACACCAUUGGACACAAUCAACGGAAUAGGGUAGUUGCUACUAAUUUUGGUAGGUCUGG